UUGCCUUGGAGCACGGAAGGCCUCAGUGUCAGAGCAGCUCUUGGGCUUGCUCAGUGCAGGAGCAUCCUCCUGCUUGAGGCGUUUGUCAGUGGGCAGCUGCACACUGACAGGAGCCUUGUUCUUCUUGAGUUGGAGCAGUGUCUGCAAACUGCCACAGCAGUGCUCCAAUGAUGGAGCCACUCGCUGCUGCAGUUUGCACUGUUUACGGCUUUAUUUAUUCCGGCUAUUACCUGACAAACCUGGCAUGUCACCUGAGGCGUGUGUUCAGAGGUGCCGAUCCUGAGAGCCCAGAACCAACAGCAGACUCUUCUCUGGCUCCCUCUGCUCCUGGAGAAGAGGCCAAAGAGGAGCAAAAUGACCACGAGCCUCCAGCAGUGGUCACACCCCAGCCUGAACAUUCGCAGACUGUAAGUGCCACUUCUGGCUGGU